rnacentral:rRNA from 1 species
AACCAGCGGAGGGAUCAUUACCGAGUUUACAACUCCCAAACCCCUGUGAACAUACCUAUACGUUGCCUCGGCGGAUCAGCCCGCGCCCUGUAAAACGGGACGGCCCGCCCGAGGACCCUAAACUCUGUUUUUAGUGGAACUUCUGAGUAAAACAAACAAAUAAAUCAAAACUUUCAACAACGGAUCUCUUGGUUCUGGCAUCGAUGAAGAACGCAGCAAAAUGCGAUAAGUAAUGUGAAUUGCAGAAUUCAGUGAAUCAUCGAAUCUUUGAACGCACAUUGCGCCCGCCAGUAUUCUGGCGGGCAUGCCUGUUCGAGCGUCAUUUCAACCCUCAAGCUCAGCUUGGUGUUGGGACUCGCGGUAACCCGCGUUCCCCAAAUCGAUUGGCGGUCACGUCGAGCUUCCAUAGCGUAGUAAUCAUACACCUCGUUACUGGUAAUCGUCGCGGCCACGCCGUAAAACCCCAACUUCUGAAUGUUGACCUCGGAUCAGGUAGGAAUACCCGCUGAACUUAAGCAUAUC